GAAGAGCAGGUAUUUUCUUUCAUUUCAGUAGGAACCACUUCUUCCUUGUUUAAAAACAAGUUACUUUAGUGCCUUUGUUAAAGUUAUGUUUCUUGUACUACUUAUAUUAAUGGUAAUAGGCCACUGUGCUAUUAAAAAAGCAGGAAGACUGCUCCUGUCUUCUAAUGAUGACCCACGUACUUGCUACUUUAACCUUCGCAGCUUACAUUAACUUUUGCACCUUCAAUUAUAUCUUGUUAGUAUAGUUUUAUGUUGGAAAUUCUGUCAACAUCAUAAGGAAUCCCAAAACACUGUGAUGAAAGGAGUCCAGUGUAACUUGCCUUAACAGACCUCAUUUUCAGAAAGUGCAUCUAACACUGUGCUCUGUGCCACCCUUUCCAGGUGGAGGUGAUGCUUGGCUUUAUAUUGAAGCUAGCAAUGAGUGCUUGAGGCAAACUCAGCUGAGAGCUAUCAAGAUGGCAUUCAGAAAAUCUGUUCCAGGGCACAAAGGUAACUUUCUGCUCUACCAUGACUUGUGAACAAAAUCCUUUUCAACUGACUAGGGUAGCCCUUGCGUGUGCAAUAAGAGGUCGAAACCUAAAUCUCUGAGGGAAUUCCAGGAUACUGAUACUAGCUACUAUCUUAAUAUUCAAUACCUACACAUCUCUGUGGUCAAAUGCUAAAUAUUCCUCCAUUACGCCUUCAGAGACAAUUACUCCAUCUUCACCUUCUUCACUCUCUGGAGAACACAAGGUCGGAGACUUGGAACGGUCAGCCUUUUUGUGAAUGGGAGUAACAGAAAGAGGUACCUUCUUGCCAAAAACACUAAAUCUGAACAAGUGACAGUUUUCAGAAAGCAGAAAUUAAAACAAGUUGUUAUUCCAUUUCAAAUAGCAGCAUUUUGUGAACUGAGAGACAACAUGGUAGUUAAGGCUGAGCAGUAUUGAGGCCAACAAAUUAUGUAUUAAAGGAAAAACUUUGGCCUGAAUAUUUUUAAUUCUUGCCAAGAACCUUAAAUCUUCAGGGAAAAAAAAAAAAAUCAAAAAAAAAAAAAAUCAAAGCUAAUUAAAAAUCAUCCUAAAACACUAAAUGAUAAAAGUACCACUAAACUAGUGCUUUGUGGUGUUUAAGUUCUAUACAAAUUUAAUAGAUGAUAACAAUAAAACCAGCUACAAUACA